rnacentral:rRNA from 1 species
GACGAACGCUGGCGGCGUGCUUAACACAUGCAAGUCGAACGGUGACGAUCAAGCUUGCUUGGUCUGAUCAGUGGCGAACGGGUGAGUAACACGUGAGUAACCUGCCCCUGACUCUGGGAUAACCCCGGGAAACCGGAGCUAAUACCGGAUAUGACACCAAUCCGCAUGGGUAUGGUGUGGAAAGUUUUUCGGUCUGGGAUGGACUCGCGGCCUAUCAGCUUGUUGGUGAGGUAAUGGCUCACCAAGGCGACGACGGGUAGCCGGCCUGAGAGGGCGACCGGCCACACUGGGACUGAGACACGGCCCAGACUCCUACGGGAGGCAGCAGUGGGGAAUAUUGCACAAUGGGCGAAAGCCUGAUGCAGCGACGCCGCGUGAGGGAUGACGGCCUUCGGGUUGUAAACCUCUUUCAGCAGGGAAGAAGCGCAAGUGACGGUACCUGCAGAAGAAGCACCGGUUAACUACGUGCCAGCCGCCGCAGUAAAAC